CUCAAUAAAACUUUUCUUAGGUUGGGGAGCAAAAGACACCUUUAGUUACCUGAAUGCACAG
rfam:Sorex araneus cont1.095906, whole genome shotgun sequence.